rnacentral:lncRNA from 1 species
CAGAAUGAAGACCUAAAUGACCUCAGCAAAUCCUCCUUUAACUCAUGGGUACCCAGACUCUAAAUAUUUCAUGAUUCACAACCAGGACCUCACAUCUUCCUCCUCAGUAGAUGGUACGAUGCACCCAUUUCAGUUUGUUUACUUUACACAAUCCUCAGGAGUUUGUUGACUGAACUGCACGUUCUAUAUCGUGCCAAGAAAAAAGCACUGUGACACCAGAACAAUGAGUCUGCAUAAACUUCAUCUUCAACCUUAAGGACUUAGCUGGCCACAUGAGCUGAUGGGCCACCGUGCCACAAGAGAAUGAGUUUACGCUCAUUGCAUUUACAAGACACAUUUCAUCUGCUGCUGAAACCGUGUACGACAGAGCAUCAUUGUAAAUUAUUUCCUAUGGAACUGUUGCGUUGGGUGGAGAGAGCCAUAGAUUUUGGUUCUCAAUUGUAUAGUUCUAUUUGCUGAUACUAUCUCUU